rnacentral:rRNA from 1 species
CAAUAGCGUAUAUUAAAGUUGUUGCAGUUAAAAAGCUCGUAGUUGAAUUUUUGCUUGCCGCCGAUGUCGGAACUUCCGUACGUUCGGCGGCGUGCAUCCUUGGGUGGAACCUGUGUGGCAUUAGGUUGUCGUGCAGGGGAUGCUCAUCGUUUACUGUGAAAAAAUUAGAGUGUUCAAAGCAGGCUUAUGCCGUUGAAUAUAUUAGCAUGGAAUAAUAAGAUAGGACCUUGGUACUAUUUUGUUGGUUUGCGCACCGAGGUAAUGAUUAACAGGGACAGUUGGGGGUAUUCGUAUCCCAUUGUCAGAGGUGAAAUUCUUGGAUUUCUGGAAGACGAACUACUGCGAAAGCAUUUACCAAGGAUGUUUUCAUUAA